rnacentral:rRNA from 1 species
AUUGAACGCUGGCGGCAGGCCUAACACAUGCAAGUCGAGCGGAUGAAGGGAGCUUGCUCCUGGAGUCAGCGGCGGACGGGUGAGUAAUGCCUAGGAAUCUGCCUGGUAGUGGGGGAUAACGUCCGGAAACGGGCGCUAAUACCGCAUACGUCCUGAGGUAGAAAGUGGGGGAUCUUCGGACCUCACGCUAUCAGAUGAGCCUAGGUCGGAUUAGCUAGUUGGUGGGGUAAAGGCCUACCAAGUCGACGAUCCGUAACUGGUCUGAGAGGAUGAUCAGUCACACUGGAACUGAGACACGGUCCAGACUCCUACGGGAGGAAGCAGUGGGGAAUAUUGGACAAUGGGCGAAAGCCUGAUCCAGCCAUGCCGCGUGCGUGAAGAAGGUCUUCGGAUUGUAAAGCACUUUAAGUUGGGAGGAAGGGCAGUAAGUUAAUACCUUGCUGUUUUGACGUUACCAACAGAAUAAGCCCCGGCUAACUUCGUG